ACUCAAAUGAAUUGACGGGGACCCGCACAAGCGGUGGAGCAUGUGGAUUAAUUCGAUACUAACCGAAGAACCUUACCCACUCUUGACAUUGAAGGAAAGCUCUAGAGAUAGGGCCCUCUCCCACAAGGAGACCUGAAAACAGAUGUUGCAUGGCUGUCGUCAGCUCGUGCCGUGAGGUGUACGGUUAAGUCCGCCAACGAGCGCAACCCUCGUUCUGUGUUACCAGCGAGUAAUGUCGGGCACUCACAGGAGACCGCCGGUGUAAGCCGGAGGAAGGUGGGGAUGAUGUCAAGUCAGCAUGGCUCUUACGAGUGGGGCUUCACACAUGCUACAAUGGGCGCAACAAAGGGCAGCAAAACCGCGAGGUGGAGCAAAUCCCAAAAAUACGUCCUCAGUUCAGAUUGCAGUCUGCAACUCGACUGCAUGAAGGCGGAAUCGCUAGUAAACGCAGGUCAGCUAUACUGCGUUGAAUACGUUCCCGGGUCUUGUACACACCGCCCGU
rnacentral:rRNA from 1 species